GCCUACGAUCAUACUACGUUGAAAGCACCGCAUCCCGUCAGAUCUGCGCAGUUAAACAACGUUAGGCCGCAUCAGUACCUUGGUUGGUGACGACAAGGGAACGUUCGGUGUCGUAGGCA
rfam:Trichuris suis scaffold88.10, whole genome shotgun sequence.